AAAAAGACAAACUCAGCAAGGCAGAAAGUAUAGCAGACCCAAUUUCACCAAAUAGCAAAACAUUCACCAAACUCCAUUGAUUCCUCUGCACUAUACCACUUUCAUCAACAACAUUAGUUAAAAAAUCCUAAUUUUCCCCAUAAAAUCAUCAGUAAGCAGGAAGAAAAAAGGAGGCAGCAACAUUGAAAAUAAAAAAAAAAACUAAGACACUGCUGUAAAAU
rnacentral:lncRNA from 1 species